ensembl:misc_RNA 7SK 7SK RNA
GGAUGUGAGGGCGAUCUGGCUGCGACAUCUGUCACCCCACUGAUUGCCAGGCUUGAUUCAGCUGAUCUGGCUGGCUAGGCGGGUGUCCCCUUCCUCCUCUCCAUGUGCAUCCCUCCCGAAGCUGCGUGCUCGGUCGAAGAGGACGACCAUCCCCGAGAGAGGAGGACCGGUCUUCGGUCAAGGGUAUACGAGUAGCUGCGCUCCCCUGCUAGAACCUCCAAACAAGCUCUCAAGAAAGCUUGUUAAUAUUUUAACUGCAAUAUACUGUUUCCCUAAGAUAAAUAACCAAAAAUAUCAAGUAUGUCCUACUGGAUUAU